rnacentral:rRNA from 1 species
UACAGAGGGGGCAAGCGUUAUUCGGAAUUAUUGGGCGUAAAGGGCUCGUAGGUGGCCAAUUAAGUCAGACGUGAAAUCCCCAGGCUCAACUUGGGAACUGCGUCUGAUACUGGUUGGCUUGAAUUCGGGAGAGGGAUGCAGAAUUCCAGGUGUAGCGGUGAAAUGCGUAGAUAUCUGGAGGAAUACCGGUGGCGAAGGCGGCAUCCUGGACCGAGAUUGACACUGAUGAGCGAAAGCCAGGGGAGCAAACGGG